GCGGCAGCUGCACUUCCGCUCCGGCCACCACUUCCGCUCUAGUCCAAGUCCCGCCCCUCCCUGAGUCGACUCCUCAUUGGCUAUCCUGUCUGAUUCAGAAAAGUCUACAAGAGACAUCAGAGACAGCUUUGUAGUUCUGACUGACAUUACAAGAGGAUGCGGUGCCAAAGAGACUUGUGUUCUCCUAGACUGCCUGAAGUAAACUGGUCAUAAAAAUGAGGUCACUGGAAAGGAUGCGAGCAAUCAGCUGCCCCAAGGCUUUGCAGCUGGGACUUCCCUGCCACAGUGACUCUCCUCUGAGACUUGAGCCUAAGGAAACUUGCCCUUUCCAAAGUCGUUUUCAUCAGCCAUUUUAUCCCAGCAAUG